GUAUGGAACAUUUUCCACCGAACAUUUCACUAGCAAUCACAUGCAAUGAACACGGUCUCGAUUUGAAUGUCUUUUGCAAAACACAUAAACAAAUAAGUUGCGUUGAGUGCGUCAGGGUUGAUCACACAAAUUGUAAUGACAUUGUUACUCUUAGUUUUGCUGCUAUAAAUACUACAUCGUCAAUCAUGUUUGGAAAUUUGGUAUCAAACGCACAAGAUCUGAUUCAUAAAGUUAAUCAAGUUCUAUCAGAUCUAGGAAAUACGUCAUCAAACAUUGAGCUUGAAAACACUCGAUUAAAAACUGCAAUAGAAAAUACGUAUAGAGGGGUUUCUACAAGCAAUGAAGUCAUGGAUACUACAUUAAAUGAUCUAAAAUUAAACUACGAAAAAUGCAUUUAUGAAACAGAAAAGAAUGUUACAAAAAUGGAAAAGAUUAAAUUGAAAAUUUCUGAAAUUGAC
rnacentral:lncRNA from 1 species